rnacentral:lncRNA from 1 species
AUGCUUGCGCUCCAGCGGGGCAGGCACCGAGUGCUUCUUCGGAGGCGCUCCCGACCGCAGCCCAGGCACCCAGACCCCCGCCUGCUCCAGGCCGGCGCCCUGGGCACCUCGGCGGAAGCCGGGAGCGAGCGCAGCUCGGGCAGCCAGAACUCCACCCUCCCCGAGGCCUUGCACGUGCAGCCCGGGGACUCCGCUGCGCGUCCCUCCCUGCCCCCACCGCGGGCACGUGACCUGCCGCCCUGGGGCCCGGGAGGACUGCGGCCGCGGAACGUCGUAGAGGAUCAGGGAAGGUUCAGAGCCAUAAGGAAUUAA